rnacentral:lncRNA from 1 species
UGGGAGCGCAUUAUCUACUAGAAAUUGAUUGUAUAUAGAUUUUUAUUUCUCCAUCCGAAGAGUGUGGGAGAUUCAUAGAAAUCAUAGGAGUCUUAUUUAUUUUUAAAGUUCCUAGAACAAAUAUUAACCAAGUACAAAUAUCUAAUUAGAAACUAUUCUCUCUGUAAAUUACCAUGUCGAGUUCUAACCCACCAGCCCAA